rnacentral:rRNA from 1 species
UACGAACCGGACAAACGUUAUUCGGAAUCACUGGGCUUAAAGAGUACGUAGGCGGCCUUGUAGGUUGGGUGUGAAAUCCCACGGCUCAACCGUGGAACUGCGCUCAAAACCACAGGGCUUGAGGGAGACAGGGGUAAGCAGAACAGAUGGUGGAGCGGUGAAAUGCGUUGAUAUCAUCUGGAACACCGGUGGCGAAGGCGGCUUACUGGGUCUCUUCUGACGCUGAGGUACGAAAGCUAGGGUAGCGAACGGG